rnacentral:sRNA from 1 species
GACCAGUUGAAUAGGAACCAUCACAAGCGCUCGCCGUGGAUCAGCAAUGACCAUUUUGGUGUAUCUGUCCUUUCUGUCCUUCCCACUUGACUGACCUGUACACACUGCUAGGCAUCCGUUGCGGUUAAGGCCGGCAGACGGUGACUGUGGACACAUGUCUCAUAACUAGGAGGCGCUCAUAGUUGGUAGAGUCGCGCGCAACAUGCGAUAUUCUGGUUUGGAUACCUAAAGACAUAAACAGUUAUGCCAUGACCCCGCUCCACGAAGCCUGAAGGGAAGACCUGAUUCCUCCAAGUUGUAUUUACAACGAUAGCCGCUAUGGCAGUCAGUCGAAGUUGGUGAAUGUUUGCUCUUGACGAGGAAAUCGGUCAGGCGAAAUACGCUUCUAGAGUUCCGAUCGGACUCGAUGAAGUCGAAAUGAAUGACAAUAGAGUUAUCUAUCCAAUCUAAAUACAUGGGGUAAUAAUAUUCAACCCCUUAUCAUAACGUAUAUAUGAGACCACCACAGUGAGAAUAGCCAACAAUCCUACUUGCCGUCCGAUACCCUUCACAAACAAACUCGGCCCAGACGAAGGUGGCGAUGUGGGACUGCCGCCAUCCCCAAUCACCUCGGGGAACAGCUGUCUUGUAUUCUGAUCGACAA